UCGCUCUGGCAGCACAUGUACUAAAAUAAGACACGAUACAGAGAUAGCAAGCCCCUGCGCAAAGGAGACACGGCAAAUCCGUGAAACGUUCCAUAUUUAG
rnacentral:snRNA from 14 species